CGGGGCAUAGCGCAGCUUGGUAGCGCAUCUGGUUUGGGACCAGAGGGUCGCAGGUUCAAAUCCUGCCGCCCCGACCA
rnacentral:tRNA from 1 species